rnacentral:rRNA from 1 species
CCUACGGGAGGCAGCAGUGGGGAAUUUUGGACAAUGGGCGAAAGCCUGAUCCAGCAAUGCCGCGUGAGUGAAGAAGGCCUUCGGGUUGUAAAGCUCUUUUGUCAGGGAAGAAACGGUGUGGGCUAAUAUCCUGCACUAAUGACGGUACCUGAAGAAUAAGCACCGGCUAACUACGUGCCAGCAGCCGCGGUAAUACGUAGGGUGCAAGCGUUAAUCGGAAUUACUGGGCGUAAAGCGUGCGCAGGCGGUUUUGUAAGUCUGUCGUGAAAUCCCCGGGCUCAACCUGGGAAUUGCGAUGGAGACUGCAAGGCUAGAAUCUGGCAGAGGGGGGUAGAAUUCCACGUGUAGCAGUGAAAUGCGUAGAGAUGUGGAGGAACACCGAUGGCGAAGGCAGCCCCCUGGGUCAAGAUUGACGCUCAUGCACGAAAGCGUGGGGAGCAAACAGGAUUAGAUACCCUGGUAGUCCACGCCCUAAACGAUGUCUACUAGUUGUCGGGUUUUAAUUAACUUGGUAACGCAGCUAACGCGUGAAGUAGACCGCCUGGGGAUACGGUCGCAAGNUUAAAACGUUAAGGAAUUGACGG